UCCUCGGCGACGAGGAAUCUUAAGUAAGCUGGAGGCAAAUUUCUGGUCUGACGGACAGAAACUACAUCAAGCAUAUAUAUGUGGUAAGGUUGUAAU
rfam:Clostridium saccharoperbutylacetonicum N1-4(HMT), complete genome.